rnacentral:lncRNA from 1 species
CUCUUCACCCCUAGACUACCACGGCAGAUUGGAACCCAGGAAUCCGCAGAGAAAACAUAAGAUUUCUAUCUAGAAAAAGGGAGCAAAAGAGAAAGGAAGGGAGUGGAUAGGGCAGGACUGUGUACUUCAGGGGCCUGCAGUCUCUGCACCAGGACACCAGGAGACCUGACUCAGAGAAGAGACUAGAAACCAACAGAAAGAAACUAAACAGCUGUCUGAUACAUAUACAGAUACACACUUGUACAUGUGUAUCCCAAUUUAAAGCUAUACAGAAAAUUAACUGAGGAACGGACUAUGGGGUCGUUGAUCUUCCUUCUCAUCAAACUUGCAUCCCACCAACUUCGGGCCUGCUGCAGCUAAUUAUUCUUGAUACAUUUGUUCACAUUACAGGUGUCAACAAUUUUGGCAUUGCAGAAGACCAUGGAGACAACUUUUUUAUUUCUCCAUCACACAAGGACUGAAGAUACAAAAAUGAGUUUUUCUUUCCUAUGGCCUUGGACUAGCUAUAUACGAUAGUAAUUAGCAAGCAGGCUCUGAAUUACACGAGCCCCUCCCACUGACUCUUGUACUUUUUAGCUAUAAGAACCUAAGCACGAACUUCGCAGAGCUCCAGUGCUUCUGUUUUGAAAAGAGAUAAUAUUUCCUAUGGGAUAGGGUUGUCUGGGGGUACUAAAUGAGAACUACAUACAAAGUACUUAAUGGAAGGUAUGUAGGACUCAAUAGAGGUAGCUAUUAAAUUGUAUGUAAGUAACAAAUCCUGAUAAUGUUCAAUUCUGAAUAAAACUUAGCAAGGUA